rnacentral:rRNA from 1 species
AAGCCCAGCACCGAAUCCCGCGGCCGACACCGGGCGCCGGGAAAUGUGGUGUUCGGGAGGGUCCGUUAUCCCGAGGUUACGCGGCGCGUCCAAGUCCUUCUUGAACGGGGCCACAGCCCAUAGAGGGUGCCAGGCCCGUAGCGACCGCCGCUGACCGCGGGAGGAUCUCUCCUCAGAGUCGGGUUGCUUGAGAGUGCAGCCCUAAGUGGGUGGUAAACUCCAUCUAAGGCUAAAUAUGACCACGAGACCGAUAGCGAACAAGUACCGUGAGGGAAAGUUGAAAAGCACUUUGAAGAGAGAGUUCAAGAGUACGUGAAACCGUUUAGGGGUAAACCUGAGAAACCCGAAAGGUCGAAGGGAGAAAUUCAUUCGCGUUUCGUCGCAGGCGUCGGACGGGGUCGAGUGACGGAGAGCGUUCGCGCUUUUCGCGCCCUCCGUUCGACGAUCCGGCGACGAACGCGUGCACUUUUCUCCUGGUAGGACGUCGCGAUCCGUUGGGUGUCGGUCUACGGCUCGCGGUGGAGCCCGUCCGUGCGUUUCGCGACGCACGAGCGGACCCGCGUGACCCGGCUGACUCGCUCGACGGUAUGAGAACGGUUGGAGGCCGCUCUUGGAGCGUUCGGCUCGCGGCAAGCGCGCCAGAUGCGUCGGCGAUCGGACCCAGUGCCGGUUCUGACCUCUGGUGACUGUUGGCCGCGAAGUUCUCGAACAGACCUUCUCUCUAAAACCGAUCUGCGACGCUAUAGCUUUGGGUACUUUCAGGACCCGUCUUGAAACACGGACCAAGGAGUCUAGCAUGUGCGCGAGUCAUUGGGAAUCACUAAACCUAAAGGCGCAAUGAAAGUAAAGGUCCCCCUCGCGGGGACUUAGGGAAGACGGGCGGUUUCACCCUUAAAAGUGGCCGCCCCGCACU